rnacentral:rRNA from 1 species
AACGAACGCUGGCGGCAGGCCUAACACAUGCAAGUCGAGCGAGGACUUCGGUUCUAGCGGCGGACGGGUGAGUAACGCGUGGGAAUGUGCCCUUCUCUACGGAAUAGCCCUGGGAAACUGGGAGUAAUACCGUAUACGCCCUAUUGGGGAAAGAUUUAUCGGAGAAGGAUCAGCCCGCGUUGGAUUAGGUAGUUGGUGGGGUAAUGGCCUACCAAGCCGACGAUCCAUAGCUGGUUUGAGAGGAUGAUCAGCCACACUGGGACUGAGACACGGCCCAGACUCCUACGGGAGGCAGCAGUGGGGAAUCUUAGACAAUGGGGGCAACCCUGAUCUAGCCAUGCCGGGUGAGUGAUGAAGGCCUUAGGGUUGAAAGCUCUUUCAGCUGGGAAGAUAAUGACGGUACCAGCAGAAGAAGCCCCGGCUAACUCCGUG